GACGAACGCUGGCGGCGUGCUUAACACAUGCAAGUCGAACGGAAAGGCCCUGCUUUUGUGGGGUGCUCGAGUGGCGAACGGGUGAGUGACACGUGAGUAACCUGCCCUUGACUUUGGGAUAACUUCAGGAAACUGGGGCUAAUACCGGAUAGGAGCUCCUGCUGCAUGGUGGGGGUUGGAAAGUUUCGGCGGUUGGGGAUGGACUCGCGGCUUAUCAGCUUGUUGGUGGGGUAGUGGCUUACCAAGGCUUUGACGGGUAGCCGGCCUGAGAGGGUGACCGGCCACAUUGGGACUUGGAUACGGCCCAGACUCCUACGGGAGGCAGCAGUGGGGAAUAUUGCACAAUGGGCGGAAGCCUGAUGCAGCAACGCCGCGUGCGGGAUGACGGCCUUCGGGUUGUAAACCGCUUUCGCCUGUGACGAAGCGUGAGUGACGGUAAUGGGUAAAGAAGCACCGGCUAACUACGUG
rnacentral:rRNA from 1 species